UACGGAGGUGCGAGCGUUAAUCGGAAUUACUGGCGUAAAGAGUGCGUAGGUGGUUAAUUAAGUUAUCUGUGAAAUCCCUGGCUCAACCUGGGCAGGUCAGAUAAUACUGGUUAACUCGAGUAUGGAGAGGGUGAGUGGAAUUUCCGGUGUAGCGGUGAAAUGCGUAGAGAUCGGAAGGAACACCAGUGGCGAAGGCGGACUACCU
rnacentral:rRNA from 1 species